rnacentral:rRNA from 1 species
UAGGGGAUACUGCGCAAUGGGGGCAACCCUGACGCAGCAACGCCGCGUGAGUGAGGAAGGUUUUCGGACCGUAAAGCUCUGUCGAGCGGGAAGAAAUGCAUGGUGGCUAAUAUCCAUCAUGCUUGACGGUACCGCUAAAGGAAGCACCGGCUAACUCCGUGCCAGCAGCCGCGGUAAUACGGGGGGUGCGAGCGUUGUUCGGAAUUAUUGGGCGUAAAGAGCGUGUAGGCGGCCGAAUAAGUCAGAUGUGAAAUCCCUGGGCUUAACCCAGGACGUGCAUUUGAAACUAUUCGGCUAGAGUAGGGGAGAGGAAAGUGGAAUUCCUGGUGUAGAGGUGAAAUUCGUAGAUAUCAGGAGGAACACCGGUGGCGAAGGCGACUUUCUGGCCCUAUACUGACGCUGAGACGCGAGAGCGUGGGUAGCAAACAG